rnacentral:rRNA from 3 species
GGACUACUCGGGUAUCUAAUCCCGUUUGCUCCCCUAGCUUUCGCGCCUCAGCGUCAGUAGUGGUCCAGCACGUCGCUUUCGCCACCGGCGUUCCUUCCGAUAUCAACGCAUUUCACCGCUCCACCGGAAGUUCCACAUGCCCCUACCACCCUCAAGACCACCAGUAUCCAAGGCUAUUUUCCGGUUAAGCCGAAAGAUUUCACCCCGGACUUGGUGACCCGCCUACGCGCCCUUUAAGCCCAGUGAUUCCGAACAACGUUAGGACGGUUCGUCUUACCGCGGCUGCUGGCAC